rnacentral:lncRNA from 1 species
CUGUUAGUCUGUUACGAGAUCCCAGCUGAGUUAAAAAGUGAACUUUAACUAGUUUCACUUGAUGCUGCAGCUCGCGACUGCCAUCACAAGAUCAGAGCUAGACCAAGGCUCAAUCUGCUUUCCGUGUCACUAUCUGGAGUGGAGCGCAGAUGGGCACCACAACUUGCGAAGCUCCUGAGAUGAACAUGUGUCGCUUUCAAAACGAGCUUUCUCCCCCCACCUCCCCAAGGCAGGAAGAGGGUGACUCACUCAAUCUCUCUCUUUUCUUCCUUCCCUCCCUCUCUAGCCUCAGAUGCCUGGGUGUGCUGGGGUGCAGCAAGUGGAGGGACCCACGUUCUCGGCAGAAUACAGCAGAAAGAAAAGCCGUUGGAGAACUGGUGAAGUACCAUGAUUAAUUCUGGAAAGUCAGUGGGCCAAGGACCAGCCCUUCCGACUGAGCUGCCGAAAAGAAAGCGAGGGCGGCCUAGAAAGCAGCCACAGGUGCACACCAUGGCUGAAAAAAAGCCCAGGGGAAGACCACGGAAAUGGCUUAUUGUCCAGGAGGAUGCAUAUCAAAAAGCUGGUACUGAAGGGAGAAUCAACCCAAGUUCUGCUACUGCAUGCCCUACCACUGAAGGUACAUCUUCUGGAAAAGGCUGUCCCAGAACCAAACGAGUGAUCGAAUCCAAGAGACCACUGACCACCUCCCCAGCCAUGGCUCAGCAAGAGCCUGCUUGUUGAUGUGUUGAUGUGUUGCUGCAAUAAAAGUUUCUUAAACCCUCUGUCA